ensembl:lncRNA
CGGAAUUGGAAGUUAGCGCCUUGCAUGGCAGCUCUGCAGCAAUUAGUGUGUGUGUGAGAGAGAGAGACAGUGUAAAGCGCUUUUGUAAACCGCUAAGGUUAGAAAAGCGAGAUAUACCAUAUUUACCAUUAGUGAUGUACAUCCAUGUGCAGUGUGACGGGUGUGAAGUGUAAUUCGCUUAGCAGUGAUUUAAGCAGCUCUGUGAAACCCCCAAAUCACAAACAGAGCAGGAGAUCGGUGUGUGUGUGUGUGUUGUACUCUUCUGUUCUGUUCAGCUUUAUGAAGAAAUUCUUUCAUUACCGGAACAGAGCGGCUCGAGCUGUCCAGAUGUUGUGCACGUUUCCUGUGAUGAACGGGGAUUUUAAAUGGGAAUUUGAGCGGAUGUGGAUGCGGAUUUGGGGUUGUGAACUUGAGGUUGUGUCUGUAUGAGACACAAUGAAUAAAAAACGCCCACUAGACUACUGAGCCUUCGAUGGUUUGCAUAGCAAGAAUGUCCACGGUCCGACUUCUUCUUUUUCUCCUAAAGCACUUCGUGUUUUCUCUUCUUUCCCCGAGCAUCACCAAAGUAAGCACCAUUGGGGUCAGUAUCCACAAGUGGAAGCAACAUCACUCCAUCAUCAACCAGCCACGCACAGGAGCUCCUCGCAAGAUGUCUGACCAGGGAGUCAGAAGAAUAGUCAGAAGAGUAGCCCAAAUGCCAAGGACUACUCGGAAAGAGCUCCAGAAAUACUUUGAGGCAGCAGGUACCAUCAGGUACCAUCGUCACAGAGAAAACAAUAGGCAGUGCACUCCACCGCCAUGGCCUCUAUGCAUGCUCACCCCACAAGACUCCAUUACUAAAGAAAAGGCAUGUCGAAGCAUGUUUGAAGUUUGCUACAACUCAUUUGGAC